CUGAGCUACCUGGCUAGGGCUUCAAACUUACUUUAAAUUAAAAAUGUGAGUCACCUGUUCAUUUUAAACUGUCUCAGAUAAAACAACCUAGGUGGAUUUUUUUAUUAUAACAUCAAAUUUAUUUCUUAGCAUCAAAGUGGGGGAGAAAUUUUUAAGAGAAAUCCUUUUAUAAUAAAAAGAAUUACCUAGAUUUAGCUGCCCUCAGGCAUAUCUCCUUAUUUAAAAAUAUAUUUGUUUCCAGUUUGAGCUGGGAAGCUGGUUCUCUGUGGGUUUAAUCACUGUCGGUACCUCUGCAGCCACUCAAUGGCUAUAAAGUGUACUGGUUGGAAAAAUUCAUGUUUUGUUGUUGUUGUUUUUCUUUUUUUCAUAAAGCAAAUGUUUUUUCUCAGCUACACAGUUGCUCAUGGUUUGAAACCUAUCAAAUGUAGAAACUAGGGACACUGCAGGAAAAAACAGGGCACAGAAUAAAAGACAGGUAACAGCUGUUUUCUCAUUCAAAGGCAAAAGCGGUCCACUGAAGUGGACUUUCUGCUUCAUUCUUGACCUUGUUAAACUGUUUCAGAGCUCAUCAGCCAUGGGGCUGGCUUUGCUGAGGAUAUGGGUAUUUUGUCCUCUAAUGUUCUAGAGCUUUCUUUUAAAUAUUUUUCUCUUAUUCCUCACACUAGCCUUGUAAAUACUCUAAAGAUAACCCCCAAGGUUCUUUCUGGUAUUUCCCAUUGGAAACUGGAACCAGAUCUCCCAGACUGUGCCUCGUGGAUGCAGGAAGAGGCUAACAGAUCUGGAAAUAAAACUUCUAAGCUGGCAAGGUUAUUGUGCUAAACUUCAUAGCGCCAAACACACUGUGAUGAAUUAUUAGUGUAAAUAUUUAAAGAUUGUCUUCUACCAGGUAAUUUAUUAUGCUACAUUGUGGGAAGAGUUGCAUUUGCCUGGUUCACUACUUAGCAUGGUGCGCGGUACACAGUAGGCACUGAAUAAAUCAAUUAACAGGUGUAUGAGGACAUUUUAAGCCAUGGUAGGCUGCUCCAGGCAGGGGCAUAUGAAGGUGUAACUUUACAGGAAAUACAUAUCCAAGUAGAAGUAGACUGAAUGGUCAGUAAAAGACUGGUCAGUCUAGAAAUACAUACUAGUAUGUAUAAUUUAGAUAUUUUUCUCCUACAACUAGGCUUCCUAUACAGUUGGGGAACUUAACUAAAUUCAGGUCCUCUGGACAUUUUUGUGACAGAAGAAAAAAAAAAAUUAACAUUUACUAUAUGAUACGGAUGUCAUUUUAAGCAAGUGUAAAAUGUAAUAGUUAUUUAAUGUACAAUGUCAGGACUGGCUAAUUUUAAACAAGGUUAGAUUCUAGCCUCAUACAAUGUACUAAGAUAAAAUUCUAUAUGGAUUAAAGAUUUAAAUAUAAAGAAAGAAAGUUAUAGGGGUUCCAUACUAAAAUGGAGAAUAUUUAAUAAUGUAAUUGGGCAAAAGCUUUUUUAAAAAGCAGAACAUUAAAGCCCAAAGUUAACAAAAGAAAUAGAAAGUUCAUCCACAUAAAUAUAAAAACCUAGUUGGCAAAGAAAUUUAAAGGGCAAGGGACCAAUUGGGAAAAAUAUUUGCAACAUAAGACAGAGUGCCAUUAGUAUAAUCAAGGCUCUUACAAAUUAGUAAAAAAAAUCAAUUUAAUAUCUCAAUAGUGAGAAGACCAUAGGACUUAAACAAGUAACAAAAGUGUUCAACUACAUUUAUCAAAGAAAUGCCAAUGAAACCAAGAUUGUAUUUCUUAGCUAUGCUAUCAGCAGAUGAAACAAUAAUACUUACUGAGCCCUUUCUGUGUUGUCAACCACUAUUUUUUUUUUACUUUUAAGAGUUACCGUCAUUCAUAUGUAUGUAAGAAUUUAUUGAGUUGUACAUUUAACAUUCAUGCACUUUAUGUAUGUUAUACCUUAAUUAAAAAGCUGUUUUGUUUGUAAACAGUUUGCCUUACAGUCUAUUGGAAAGUAAACCACUGUUGUGCUUUGGUUGGUCUGACCCUGUGCCGGAUGCUAAGGUGAGAGAUGAUGGCAGCCACUGGGAGAACAGCUCUGUUGAUGAAACGUUCUCUUCAAACUUGUGGGGUAGUGUAUCGUCUAUGGCUCUGUGACAGUUAGAAAUCGCAAAAUUCGGUGUAAUGGUCUCUGACACAAAAAUUUCAUUCUGAAUGAAUAUGCCAUCUGUUCUCAUAACACUUUAAUCAUGCAUCAAAUAUUAUUAAAAAAUGCCUUGCAAAGUAGUUUGUGGUUUGUAUUCUUGUAUCCACUACUAUGGUAGGAAAGACAAGGACAAAUGUUGAGUCUUACUUUCAUCUGUAUUUCCCUCAGUGCCUAGUAUAUAUAGUGCCUUUCAUUUGGUUGGAACGUACAAUAAAUGUUCACUGAACUA